rnacentral:rRNA from 1 species
CCAGCAACUUGGAGGAAUGUAUAGCGAAAGCUACUUGCAUUUAGCUUAGUUAAAGCUAAGUUGGUGCAGGAUUGACUAUGUCAAAUAAAGUUCUAGGUGGGUUAUGAUGAUGACAUUUCCUAUCUAUGUGUCUUGACCAAAUUACGUGCCAGCAGUCGCGGUAACACGUAAAAGACUAGUGUUAUUCAUCUUUAAUAGGUUUAAAGGGUACCUAGACGGUAAAUCAAGUCCAAGAAGGGUACUAAUUUUACUAGAGUUUAAUGUGAGGGGGCACUAAAGUACUGAUAAGUGUAGAGAUGAAAUUCUGUGAUACAAUAUACGGCACUGGCAAAGGCGAAAGCAUCUCAUUAUGUAAUAACUGACGUUGAGGGACGAAGGCUAGGUGUAGCAAAAAGGAUUAGAUACCCAAGUAGUCUUAGCAGAAAAUUAUGAAUGUCAUAGGAUGGAAAGUUGGAUGGACAAACAACAAAUUUUUUUUCUAUAAAUGAAAGUGUAAGCAUUCCACCUCGAGAGUAAUUUGGCAACAUUGGAACUGAAAUCAUUAGACCGUUUCUGAAACAAGUAGUGAAGUAUGUUGUUUAAUUUGAUGGUCCGCAAAAAACCUUACCACAAUUUGAAUAGAAAUUUUUUUUCAUACAAGCGCUGCACGGUUGUCUUCAGUUAAUGUCGUGAGAUCUUGGUUAGUUCCAUUAAAUUAACGUAAACCCUUACUUUAUUUUUAUAUAGAGUAGUUCACCGCUAGAUUGGAUGUGAUAACAGGGACUAAGACAAGUCAUCAUGG